rnacentral:rRNA from 1 species
UUUUGUAUAAUGGGUCAGCGACUUAUAUUCUGUAGCAAGGUUAACCGAAUAGGGGAGCCGAAGGGAAACCGAGUCUUAACUGGGCGUUAAGUUGCAGGGUAUAGACCCGAAACCCGGUGAUCUAGCCAUGGGCAGGUUGAAGGUUGGGUAACACUAACUGGAGGACCGAACCGACUAAUGUUGAAAAAUUAGCGGAUGACUUGUGGCUGGGGGUGAAAGGCCAAUCAAACCGGGAGAUAGCUGGUUCUCCCCGAAAGCUAUUUAGGUAGCGCCUCGUGAAUUCAUCUCCGGGGGUAGAGCACUGUUUCGGCAAGGGGGUCAUCCCGACUUACCAACCCGAUGCAAACUGCGAAUACCGGAGAAUGUUAUCACGGGAGACACACGGCGGGUGCUAACGUCCGUCGUGAAGAGGGAAACAACCCAGACCGCCAGCUAAGGUCCCAAAGUCAUGGUUAAGUGGGAAACGAUGUGGGAAGGCCCAGACAGCCAGGAUGUUGGCUUAGAAGCAGCCAUCAUUUAAAGAAAGCGUAAUAGCUCACUGGUCGAGUCGGCCUGCGCGGAAGAUGUAACGGGGCUAAACCAUGCACCGAAGCUGCGGCAGCGACACUAUGUGUUGUUGGGUAGGGGAGCGUUCUGUAAGCCUGUGAAGGUGUGCUGUGAGGCAUGCUGGAGGUAUCAGAAGUGCGAAUGCUGACAUAAGUAACGAUAAAGCGGGUGAAAAGCCCGCUCGCCGGAAGACCAAGGGUUCCUGUCCAACGUUAAUCGGGGCAGGGUGAGUCGACCCCUAAGGCGAGGCCGAAAGGCGUAGUCGAUGGGAAACAGGUUAAUAUUCCUGUACUUGGUGUUACUGCGAAGGGGGGACGGAGAAGGCUAUGUUGGCCGGGCGACGGUUGUCCCGGUUUAAGCGUGUAGGCUGGUUUUCCAGGCAAAUCCGGAAAAUCAAGGCUGAGGCGUGAUGACGAGGCACUACGGUGCUGAAGCAACAAAUGCCCUGCUUCCAGGAAAAGCCUCUAAGCAUCAGGUAACAUCAAAUCGUACCCCAAACCGACACAGGUGGUCAGGUAGAGAAUACCAAGGCGCUUGAGAGAACUCGGGUGAAGGAACUAGGCAAAAUGGUGCCGUAACUUCGGGAGAAGG